rnacentral:rRNA from 1 species
CAAUAGCGUAUAUUAAAGUUGUUGCGGUAAAAAAGCUCGUAGUUGGAUUUCUGUUGAGAGCGACCGGUCCAUACCAUGUAUGCGUAUCUGGCUUGCUCUCGGCAUCCUCUCGAUAGACGUUACUGCGCUUGAUUGCGUGGUGCGGAUCUCGGGGCUUUUACUUUGAGGAAAUUAGAGUGUUCACGGCAGGCUUUCGCCAGAAUACAUUAGCAUGGAAUAAUACUAUAGGAUCUUGGUUCUAUUUUGUUGGUUUCUAGAAUUGAGAUAAUGAUUAAUAGGGACAAUUGGGGGCAUUCGUAUCAACACGUCAGAGGUGGAAUUCUUGGAUUGUGUUGCGACGAACUACUGCGAAAGCAUUUGCCAAGGAUGUUUUCAUUGA